rnacentral:rRNA from 3 species
UUUAAUUGAAGAGUUUGAUCAUGGCUCAGAUUGAACGCUGGCGGCAGGCCUAACACAUGCAAGUCGAGCGGCAGCACAGAGGAACUU